GACGAACGCUGGCGGCGUGCUUAACACAUGCAAGUCGAACGCUGAAGCUUGGUGCUUGCACUGGGUGGAUGAGUGGCGAACGGGUGAGUAAUACGUGAGUAACCUGCCCUUGACUCUGGGAUAAGCCUGGGAAACUGGGUCUAAUACUGGAUAUGACAUGCCACUGCAUGGUGGUGUGUUGAAAGGGUUUUACUGGUUUUGGAUGGGCUCACGGCCUAUCAGCUUGUUGGUGGGGUAAUGGCCUACCAAGGCGACGACGGGUAGCCGGCCUGAGAGGGUGACCGGCCACACUGGGACUGAGACACGGCCCAGACUCCUACGGGAGGCAGCAGUGGGGAAUAUUGCACAAUGGGCGGAAGCCUGAUGCAGCGACGCCGCGUGAGGGAUGACGGCCUUCGGGUUGUAAACCUCUUUCAGCACGGAAGAAGCGAGAGUGACGGUACGUGAAGAAGAAGCGCCGGCUAACUACGUG
rnacentral:rRNA from 1 species